rnacentral:rRNA from 1 species
UGGGGAAUAUUGCACAAUGGGCGCAAGCCUGAUGCAGCCAUGCCGCGUGUAUGAAGAAGGCCUUCGGGUUGUAAAGUACUUUCAGUCGGGAGGAAGGUGGUAAGGUUAAUAACCUUAUCAAUUGACGUUACCGACAGAAGAAGCACCGGCUAACUCCGUGCCAGCAGCCGCGGUAAUACGGAGGGUGCAAGCGUUAAUCGGAAUUACUGGGCGUAAAGCGAACGCAGGCGGUUGAUUGAGUCAGAUGUGAAAUCCCCGGGCUUAACCCGGGAAUUGCAUCUGCUACUGGUCAGCUAGAGUCUUGUAGAGGGGGGUAGCAGUCCAUGUGUAGCGAUGAAAUGCGUAGAGAUGUGGAGGAAUACCGGUGGCGAAGGCAGCCCCCUGGACAAAGACUGACGCACAGGUGCGAAAGCGUGGGGAGCAAACAGG